rnacentral:tRNA from 1 species
GCCCUGGUGGCUAAGUGGUUAAGAGCUUGGCUGCUAACCAAAAGGUUGGCAGUUCAAAUCCACCUAUAGGGCA